GCAAACCUACGGGGCGCAGCAGUGGGGAAUAUUGCGCAAUGGAGGGAACCCUGACGCAGCAACGCCGCGUGAGUGAAGAAGGCCUUCGGGUUGUAAAGCUCUUUAAUCAGGGACGAAGAAUGACGGUACCUGAAGAAUAAGCUCCGGCUAACUACGUGCCAGCAGCCGCGGUAAUACGUAGGGAGCAAGCGUUAUCCGGAUUUACUGGGUGUAACGGGCGUGUAGGCGGGCCUGCAAGUCAGAAGUGAAAUCUGGGGGCUUAACCCCCAAACUGCUUUUGAAACUGUGGGUCUUG
rnacentral:rRNA from 1 species